GGUCUUCAAGGAGGAAGAUGGGGGUUUUUAUGUGUGCUGAAAUGAACUGCAGUAGCUGCGCUGUGGUAAUCGAUGGGUAAUUGAAACGAGAAGCCACACUUGCUGAGCAGAAGAGCCGGGACACCAGGGCACUGGCUGAUCAGAGGAGACAGCAGCACACCACGGUGCAAACGACAGCCUGACGCCUGUCUGCUGCGGGGCUGAUGCCUCCUGCCACUAUGCCACAUGUACCCUGUUGCCUGUUCUGCUCCCCUGCCUAUGGCGCACAGCUGAUAGCACUGAUUUUAGCUUCUGGGGAGCAGCACAGGAAAGCAACCCACCUUUGGGAACAGAAGAAAUAUGAGGGACAUCAGCCCUGAAGAAACAAACAGUGUCAUCAGUUCCCCAGAUUAGAGGAGAGAGAACCUCUCUGGCUGAUAUGGGGAAUCACAUCAUUAUAUUUCAUGAACAAGUUGCUUCAUUUGAAAGCGUUUUUCCUGCCUUACAUCUGAGUGCAAAUCUGGGCAGCAAAAUUCCAGCAAAAUAUCAAGGGGUGAGUAAAAUUCCCUCCAGUGCUGCAGGUUUUUGACGCAUGCAUGCUAAUGUCUAUAAACAUUGACAAAGUGAAAACACAUAAGGGAGGUCUGUGCCUGCUUUUCCACUUGAUUCCUUCCUUGCAGGGACUCCUCUGGCAACCACAGUCUUUCUCCCCAAAGGUUUGCUAUCAAAAUAUUUAGCAGAUUCUCUUAUGAGAUGAGAAUCUUUGGUUCACUCUAAUUUCUAGCCUCAUCAUCUGGCUUGAGGAUUGUGUCAGAAAGCAGCACUGAAGCAACGAGAAAAAUAAAACAAGAGAUGCAACCUUCGAAAGGUGCAAAGCAGCAGGUGAGGCUGAAACCCAGAGGGACAACAAAGAAUAAAAUAAAGAUUUUUUAAAAAAGCUAA